rnacentral:rRNA from 1 species
CGUGGAGACAGGUGGUGCAUGGCUGUCGUCAGCUCGUGUCAUGAGAUGUUGGGUUAAGUCCCGCAACGAGCGCAACCCUCACCCCUAGUUGCCACCGGGUUAAGCCGAGCACUCAAGGGGAACUGCCAGCGUCAAGCUGGAGGAAGGCGGGGAUGACGUCAAGUCAUCAUGCCCCUUACGCCCUGGGCUACACACGUGCUACAAUGGCCAGUACAAAGGGACGCGAGACUGCGAAGUGGAGCUAAUCCCAAAAAGCUGGUCUAAGUUCAGAUUGCAGUCUGCAACUCGACUGCAUGAAGGAGGAAUCGCUAGUAAUCGCGUAUCAGCCCGGCGCGGUGAAUACGUUCCCGGGCCUUGUACACACCGCCCGUCACACCACGAAAGCUGUCUGUACUCGAAGUCGCUGAG